rnacentral:sRNA from 1 species
UUAGAGGAUAGGGAUUUGAUUUUGUUGGGAGAGCUGAGAUCAGGGGUUGGGUUUCUUACCUAUGUGUACAUAUGUAAAUAGUCUGUCCCUGUCUCUGUCUCUCUGACUCUCACUCUCUUCCCCCACUCUUUAUCUCUGCCGCUUUUUUUCCAGAGCUUGCAUGGAGAUGGUCCCCUGCGGCUGCUGCUGCUGCCCUCUAUCCACCUUGAGGCCUUGGACCUGCUGUCUGCACUCAUCCUUGCGUGAGUGGGAUUGGGCUGGCUGUGGUGAAGGGAUAGGGCGUGCCAGAAACGAGGGUCACAUUCCUUCUCUGCCCCAGGUGUGGAAGCCGGCUCUUGCGCUUUGGGAUCCUGAUCAGCCGCCUGCUUCCCCAGGUCCUCAAUUCCUGGAGCAUCGGUAGAGAUUCCCUCUCUCCAGGCCAGGAGAGGCCUUACAGCACGGUUCGGACCAAGGUGUAUGCGAUAUUAGAGCUGUGGGUGCAGGUUUGUGGGGCCUCGGCGGGAAUGCUUCAGGGAGGAGCCUCUGGAGAGGCCCUGCUCACCCACCUGCUCAGUGACAUCUCCCCGCCAGCUGAUGCCCUUAAGCUGCGUAGCCCAC